GUGAGAAAGAACAAGAUGUUUUCUUCUAAUAGGAAAGAUCCUGAUGAGAAGAAAAAUAGGUACAGAUAUAAAACUUCUGGAUCAUAUGAAUUUUCAAGAGGCCAUUCCUGAGGACACCUGGCUGAGGUACAGCUGUAUCCAGAGAAGCCCUCAGAAAAAAGAAGCAGGCAUCCACUGGCCCAAACAGACACAAUAGUACUUAAUCAGGAAUGUGGUGGCUAUGGUUCUG